rnacentral:misc_RNA from 1 species
GAUGAAGAACGCAGCGAAAUGCGAUAAGUAAUGUGAAUUGCAGAAUUCAGUGAAUCAUCGAAUCUUUGAACGCACAUUGCGCCCGCCAGCACUCUGGCGGGCAUGCCUGUUCUAGCGUCAUUUCAACCAUCAAGCCCCCAGGGGCUUGUGCUGGGGCCCUGCGGCUGCCCGCAGGCCCUGAAAACCAGUGACGGGCUCGCUAGUCACACCGAGCGCAGUAGCACAUCUCGCUCAGGGCGUGCGGCGGGCUCCUGCCGUGAAACCCCCCACUGUAACCCCAAAGGUUGACCUCGGAUCAAGUAGGAAUACCCGCUGAACUUAAGCAUAUCAAUAAGCGGAGGA